UGCAGUCGAGCGGGAACUUCGGUUCUAGCGGCGGACGGGUGAGUAAUGUAUAGGGAGCUGCCCGACAGAGGGGGAUACCAGUUGGAAACGACUGUUAAUACCGCAUAACGUCUACGGACCAAAGUAUGGGACCUUCGGGCCAUAUGCUGUCGGAUGCACCUAUAUGGGAUUAGCUGGUUGGUGGGGUAACGGCUCACCAAGGCGACGAUCCCUAGCUGGUUUGAGAGGAUGAUCAGCCACACUGGAACUGAGACACGGUCCAGACUCCUACGGGAGGCAGCAGUGGGGAAUAUUGGACAAUGGGCGCAAGCCUGAUCCAGCCAUGCCGCGUGUGUGAAGAAGGCCUUCGGGUUGUAAAGCACUUUCAGCGGGGAGGAAGGGUGUUGUGUUAAUAGCACAGCAUUUUAACGUUACCCGCAGAAAAAACACCCGAUAACUCCGUGACAACAGCCGCGCGAAUACCGAAGGUGCGAAGGUAAUCAGAAUUUCAGG
rnacentral:rRNA from 1 species